AACCUCAUGUACGCUGCACUCUU
rnacentral:siRNA from 1 species